AUAUUCGAUGCUUGAAUCAGAUUCAGAUUUUUUCAGACUUAUGUCUUGAAGAUACCACUGGCACAAAAAACUCUUCUCAUUUUCAAUUCUGAACUCCUGAUGAAAGGAUUUCAUUAUUCUCCAAAUAUGGAUAUUCUGAAAAUGGCCUUUCCCAUCACUGAUUUACAGUGAACAUGUCAUGGUGCCUCUGUCAGGUUCCUUCCCCCUCCCCUCUCUGCUUGGCCUCUGAUUCAUCCCAGCUGCGUCCACUCAUCUCAUCACCUCACCGACCUACUUAAGGAGCCUCAAGACCAGGAUUCAUCGCCAGAUCGUUACCCCUGAUGGACCUUCAUGCCCACGAGUGGACACCUCGAAUCAAGAGACAACCGAGCAGAACAUCACCAGAAGCCACCUACCUAGUCACGGAGUCUCAGUCACGUCCAGAGCCAUAGCCGUACCUCCAGCCAAGCCAAAGAGCCACAGCCGAGCCGAAGCCACGCCAAGAGCCACAGCCGAGCCGAAGCCACGCCAAGAGCCACAGCCGAGCCGAAACCACGUCGGGAGCCGCAGCCGCACUUCCACGUCUCGCUUCGGAACUUCGACGUCCCUCCAGCUUCGCCGCCCUCCUGCCACAGCAUACUAUGUCACCUUUCUGGAACUAUUAAACUUACUUACUUACUUCCA